ACAAGAACAAGACAUAAUAGUUGACUGAUUGACAUUUGCAUCCGCUGCUUGCUCUGACUAAACCUCUAACUCAAAGACGGCCAUCAUUACCACACCAGACACAAUUGUGGUUGUCACUCUCUCCUGACUGACUGCCUGACACAGUGGCUGAGGUGAAUCCUAGAGGAGUGGGGGCGGGGAGGGAUUGAUUGUGUUGUUUAUCAGAUGGUGCGAUUUAAAGGGUGUGAGAAAUGUAUGUGAGAAACCUAAAAAUGAUUGUUUGUAGCCAGCACUUUCAGCCAGAGGAUUUUGAAACGGACGUCUGAAAAAAGUGAUGGUAUUCCAUCGAUUUCCCCCUUCUCUUCAAAGAGGAAGGCAUCCGAUCAGCCAACAUCAGUGCAACAGAAAAGAAGCUAAGCUGAGACUAAUCCUGCUACUGAGGACGACCUUGACACCAACGUUAGUAGUACAGAGCCUGUAGACCCAUUGGAUGAAAGCUUUCAGCCUGGAAUAAGCCUAAGCUCAACAUCAUCUGACGUUGAAACAAGCCAGGACAGCCAAAGGGGACUUGCGGUACAUACAAAUCUUCUGCAAGAGGUCGAAGCAGUGGCUAGUGAAGAACAUCGCCAAAGCCUGCUAAACCAGCUGCCAUUACCCUUCACAAGCAGAGGUCCACCAGCUGAAGAACAUUCAACUAAAACCACAUCCAUAUUCAGUUAGACUCAUGUUCUAGUAUAAUAUAGAUUGAAGGAUGCCUGCUGAUUCAUGAUUUCGACUGUCCAAGAAACACAGCCUGCCUGUCUGUCUCGUCCCAACUCCCGUUCAUUACUAUGGGACAGCUGGAGAUCGAAUUUGAAUAUUGAAACAAGGUUGCAAAUG